rnacentral:pre_miRNA from 1 species
AAAAGUUAAAUUUGGAUGGAGUUGGAGCGUGUGCUUACGUUUGCCGCUAGGGGCGCUGUUCGAACUACAUACAAAUUUGAGUUA